rnacentral:rRNA from 1 species
GACGAACGCUGGCGGCGUGCUUAACACAUGCAAGUCGAACGGAAAGGCCCUGCUUUUGUGGGGUGCUCGAGUGGCGAACGGGUGAGUAACACGUGAGUAACCUGCCCUUGACUUUGGGAUAACUUCAGGAAACUGGGGCUAAUACCGGAUAGGAGCUCCUGCUGCAUGGUGGGGGUUGGAAAGUUUCGGCGGUUGGGGAUGGACUCGCGGCUUAUCAGCUUGUUGGUGGGGUAGUGGCUUACCAAGGCUUUGACGGGUAGCCGGCCUGAGAGGGUGACCGGCCACAUUGGGACUGAGAGACGGCCCAGACUCCUACGGGAGGCAGCAGGGGGGAAUAUUGCACAAUGGGCGGAAGCCUGAUGCAGCAACGCCGCGUGCGGGAUGACGGCCUUCGGGUUGUAAACCGCUUUCGACUGUGACGAAGCGUGAGUGACGGUAAUGGGUAAAGAAGCAACGGCUAACUACGUG